GAGAAAAACCAGUGGAAUUUUCCAAUUUUCCGAUAUUUUUACUCGUUCUUGAUAAUUCUCGAUAUUCGCGGGAAAUCCGGGGAUUUCCGGAGGAUUUAAAUUAAUAGAAAAAGGGGAUCUCGAGAGCUACAAAAAAUUCCCCAACGGUUUUUCCCGGGAGUCAACAUUUCUCGAGAUAAAUCGACGAUUGCAGAUAAAAUGGAAAUGAUACAUUUACAUCAUUCAUUUAUUCGUCCAGUCGAUUUCAGUCGGGCCCCACGUGGACUGAGUCAUCAAAUCAAGGCCCCACUCAAUGCUGUCUCCUUUUCUUAUUGUCACCAGUCCAAUUAUGGAUUAUCCUCACUCGUAGAUAUUCGUUGAACUCUGAGAAAAGCGCGUCAAUGUCGACCUCGAGAUGAUUUUUUCCCAUAACCUCGGGAUUUUUCAUUUUUCACGAGGACCUCUCCUCGAGUUAUUUCCAUCGAUCCGAUGAACUCCAUUGACCUCCAUUUUUCGUCAAUAUUUUUUUCUAGGUCGUGUACCUCGAGAAAAUGUCUGUUUGAGUUAUUCCAUCGGUUUGUCGAGUGCCUGUGCAGAUCGUUACUGUGAAGGCCAUCCCCUGGGAGAAGAGGGGCAGAAAAUCAUUAUAAUUGCCGUGCAACUCUAAUUUCUCAUUUUCCCUCGGUAAAUUAAUCG